rnacentral:lncRNA from 1 species
AUGAAAAAGCCUUUCGGACAUCCUUUGGAGCUGGAGUGGAGAUUCUUACUGCAUGGGAGGAAUGGGAGUCUUCUCAGAUCAAGUAUCCAGCUUACAUUAGCCAGAAUAAAUACAUUUAUUAGAUGUCAUUUCCUGUGGUGCUACCUGAGAGAAUUGAGGGGAUUAGGACAGCAAGUAGUUCACUGUGGGAACUUGAGUGGACCACAUUGACUCCAUCUUGUAACUGUGGUAGAGGCAUGGAGAGAGAGAGAACUUGUAAACCAAGAUGCAAGAAACUGGGGACCUAACCUGCCUGUCAAUCAAGAAGGAGUUUCCAAAAUGGAAUGUUCCCAG